rnacentral:piRNA from 1 species
GAGGCAGAGGCAGGUGGAUCUGAGUU